rnacentral:rRNA from 1 species
UGGGGAAUAUUGGACAAUGGGGGCAACCCUGCCCCAGCAAUGCCGCGUGUGUGAAGAAGGCCUUCGGGUUGUAAAGCACUUUCGGUGGGGACAAACAAGGCGGAGCUAACAUCUCCGUCCCUGAUGGUACCCAAAGAAGAAGCACCGGCUAACUCUGUGCCAGCAGCCGCGGUAAUACAGAGGGUGCAAGCGUUAAUCGGAAUUACUGGGCGUAAAGCGCGCGUAGGCGGCUUGUUAAGUCGGAUGUGAAAUCCCCGGGCUCAACCUGGGAACUGCAUCCGAUACUGGCUGGCUAGAGUAUGGUAGAGGGAAGUGGAAUUCCAGGUGUAGCGGUGAAAUGCGUAGAUAUCUGGAGGAACAUCAGUGGCGAAGGCGGCUUCCUGGACCAACACUGACGCUGAGGCGCGAAAGCGUGGGGAGCAAACAGGAUUAGAUACCCUGGUAGUCCACGCCGUAAACGAUGUCAACUAGCCGUAGGGAGCAUCUGGCUCUUUGUGGCGCAGCUAACGCGAUAAGUUGACCGCCUGGGGAGUACGGCCGCAAGGCUA